GGAGUUUGGACCGUGUCUCAGUUCCAAUGUGGGGGACCUUCCUCUCAGAACCCCUACUGAUCGCAGGCUUGGUGGGCCGUUACCCCGCCAACAACCUAAUCAGACGCAUCCCCAUCCCAUAGCGGUGAACCUUUGGUAUUCCUCAGAUGUCAUCGAAAUACAACAUAGAGCAUUAAUCCGACUUUCGCCGGGCUAUUCUCUACUAUGGGGAAGGUUGGAUACGCGUUACUCACCCGUGCGCCACUCGAAUCAUUCCCUUCCGGCCGAAGCCUUCCGUUAAUGAUCCCCGUUCGACUUGCAUGUGUUAAGCACGCCGCCAGCGUU
rnacentral:rRNA from 1 species